GUGCCGUGACGAGUACCUGCCAGGGGGAUCUUUUACACAAAAGGUUCCUAUCAAAGGAAAGGAUCAUCAUAAACAGAAAGCUGGCUACAGAAUUGAAACCGUCACCUACGGACCGAGUAAAAAGCUGUACUUUGCUUACUCUGGUGACAAGACAUGUUACUGGCAGUGUGACAGUCAGGGGGUAGCCACACUCAGACCCUGCCCCACCGGAACUGUGUUCAAGGAGGAGCUACAGACAUGUCUGCGGUACUAUAAGCUAUGAAAGAUGAAACACAAUUGACAAAACAGAAACCGCGCAGUAAAAUUCCUGGCAUCCCGUGGACAACAGAAAUCAUUUAGUGUUAGCUGCCGUGGAUUAUUUGGACA